UAGGGAAUAUUAGAUUUGAAGUUUAAUUUAUGAAUUUAAAUAUAUGGGGUUUGGAGUUAGGAUAAGAUUUCAUUUUUUUUUAAAUAAUAAACUAAAAGUUUAUAUUAAGGUUUGAUGUUCAAGUUUGAAAAUAUUAGAUUAAUAUUUAGAUUAUGAUUUGGAUUUAGGUUUUAGGGCUUGAAGUGUGAUGUUAAGGGUUGGUUUUGAGAUUUUGAGAUUAAAAUUUGAAAAUAACUAAAAUUUGAAUUUUUUUAAGAUUUGGAACUAAAAUACGAACAGUAUGGGGUGUUGAAUAUAAUAUGUUAGUGUUUAUAUUUAUAAUUCGGAGUAUAAGGUUUAUUAUAUAUAGUUUAUGUAUAAAGUUUAUGUAUAGAGUUUAGGGUAUAGAGUUUGAAUAAAGAUUUAAGGUUUGUGUUUUGGAAGUUAAAGACCAAAAUUAAAAGGGAUGGCUUUGAGUUUAAGUUUAUAAUUUCAGGUUAUGAUAUGAACAAAAUUAGAGUUUUAAUGUUUACAUUUAGAGUUUAGGGUUUAAAACAUGUUUAGGGUUAAGAUUUCAAAGAUUAGAAAUUGAUUUUUCAUAACAGUUUUAAAAACAAUGCUAUCAUAAUGUGCUAUUGAAAAAAUAGAAAAAAUUAUGUCUUUGCGCGUGGCUAACUUUCACCUAAAUAUUGGCGGUAUUAGUGAUUUUAUGUUCCCGCUCACUGAUUUUACACAACAGCAUUAAUAAACUGCUAUUAAUAUAAACUCAGUUUUUUUUUUGAUUUUUAAUAGCAGUU
rnacentral:lncRNA from 1 species